rnacentral:rRNA from 1 species
GACGAACCGUCCAAACGUUAUUCGGAAUCACUGGGCUUACAGAGUUCGUAGGCGGUCUGGAAAGUUGGGUGUGAAAUCCCUCGGCUCAACCGAGGAACUGCGCUUGAAACUACCAGACUCGAGGGAGAUAGAGGAAAGCGGAACUGAUGGUGGAGCGGUGAAAUGCGUUGAUAUCAUCAGGAACACCGGUGGCGAAGGCGGCUUUCUGGGUCUUACCUGACGCUGAGGAACGAAAGCUAGGGGAGCGAACAGG